rnacentral:rRNA from 1 species
AUGGGAACGCGAAGAACCUUACCUACUCUUGACAUCCAGAGAACUUAGCAGAGAUGCUUUGGUGCCUUCGGGAACUCUGAGACAGGUGCUGCAUGGCUGUCGUCAGCUCGUGUUGUGAAAUGUUGGGUUAAGUCCCGCAACGAGCGCAACCCUUAUCCUUUGUUGCCAGCGGCUCGGCCGGGAACUCAAAGGAGACUGCCAGUGAUAAACUGGAGGAAGGUGGGGAUGACGUCAAGUCAUCAUGGCCCUUACGAGUAGGGCUACACACGUGCUACAAUGGCGCAUACAAAGAGAAGCGACCUCGCGAGAGCAAGCGGACCUCAUAAAGUGCGUCGUAGUCCGGAUUGGAGUCUGCAACUCGACUCCAUGAAGUCGGAAUCGCUAGUAAUCGUAGAUCAGAAUGCUACGGUGAAUACGUUCCCGGGUCUUGUACACACCG